CGGAACAUAGCUCAGCCGGUUAGAGCGGUGGCCUUAUAAGCCAUGUGCCUUGGUUCGAUUCCAAGUGUUCCGA
rnacentral:tRNA from 1 species